AGCUAACUAACUUUCUGUUUCCCUCCCAGCUGGCUUCUUGAGAAUGCAGUUCCCUGUGGUAACUUAGUAGUAAAUUAGAGCUAACUUUUGGGAAGGCACACAACAUCUCUGCAUGUCUCGAGCAGGAGCUGGGAGAUCUGGAAGAUAUAACUGCGAGCAAGAAGGAGAUCAGGAGCUCACUUCCUCCAGAACGUUUCUCUGCUGAAGUCUAGGAUGGCCAGUUGCGGAUCAUGUUUCUGGUGCCUCAUCUGGUUGGUGGUUCUGCUGGUUAUUGGCUGGCCCCUAGGCAUCACCUUAGGGGGUCUUUACGGCCUCAUCAGCCCCCUCACUACCUGCCUCGGCCUGGACCGACUCUCCGAUCUACUCUUGGAGGGGGCCAACCUGGGCCGAACCUGUGCCAAUAACAUGAGACAUUGCAAGCCUUUGUGUUGAGAUCCUUCCUGGAUGUGAUCAGGACCAGAUUGUCACUUUUUCUACAGAGAAAGAGCCCUCACUUUGAGGAGGACUGUUUGUUUGAGAAACGUCUGUUUUAUGUGGGGAUAUCCUGAGAUGAUUGGCAUUCAAUACAGUGACAAAGUUUUUUUUUGAGCAAGUUAUGUAACAAAAAAGGUCCAGAAGGUCUGGGAAAUGGAUUCCACUCAUUCUGUUAACAUGUAAUUAACCAUGGAUUUCAAAAUUGUAUGGGUUUGUCAGGACGGAAAUAGGCUUUGUGUUCAUGGUCUGUGUUUGCUGUUUAAUUCAUGAUGACACUGCAUGGAGAAGAUAAGAAUGAAAAUGGCAAUUUAACAAUGGAAAUGCUUAGACUUGUAAAUGACUGUAUGGAAACUUUUAAUGCGAUUAAAACGGCUUUGAACUUGC